AUUGAACGCUGGCGGCAGGCCUAACACAUGCAAGUCGAACGGUAACAGGAAACAGCUUGCUGUUUCGCUGACGAGUGGCGGACGUGUGAGUAAUGUAUGGGAAACUGCCUGAUGGAGGGGGAUAACUACUGGAAACGGUAGCUAAUACCGCAUAACGUCGCAAGACCAAAGUGGGGGACCCUCGGGCCUCUUGCCAUCGGAUGUGCCCAGAUGGGAUUAGAUUGUUGGUGGGGUAACGGCUUACAAAGGCGACGAUCCCUAGCUGGUCUGAGAUGAUGACCAGCCACACUGGAACUGAGACAGGGACCAGACUCCUACGGGGGGCAGCUGUUGGGAAUUUUCCCCCACAGGCGGGAGCCUGAUGGAGCCGUGCCGCGUGUAUGAAAAAGGCCUUCGGGGUGUAAAGUACUUUGAGCGGGGAGGAAGAGGGUAAAGUUAAUACCUUUGCUCAUUGACGUUACCCGCAGAAGAAGCUCCGACUAACUCCGUG
rnacentral:rRNA from 1 species